rnacentral:tRNA from 1 species
GAGGGUAUAGCUAAAAUGGUAGAGCACAUGCUUAGCAUGCACGAGGUCUUGGGUUCAAUCCCCAGUACCUCCA